rnacentral:tRNA from 1 species
GCGUCCAGCUAGAUGGCUCUUUUCUGCCCUCCGAAGGCAGAGGUCACAGGUUCGAAUCCUGUCGGGUGCGCCA